rnacentral:rRNA from 1 species
CAGUAGCCGCGGUAAUACGUAGGGUGCAAGCGUUAAUCGGAAUUACUGGGCGUAAAGCGUGCGCAGGCGGUUAUAUAAGACAGAUGUGAAAUCCCCGGGCUCAACCUGGGAACUGCAUUUGUGACUGUAUAGCUAGAGUACGGCAGAGGGGGAUGGAAUUCCGCGUGUAGCAGUGAAAUGCGUAGAUAUGCGGAGGAACACCGAUGGCGAAGGCAAUCCCCUGGGCCUGUACUGACGCUCAUGCACGAAAGCGUGGGGAGCAAACAGGAUUAGAUACCCGAGUAGUCCUGUCUCUUAUACA